CCGUAGGUGAACCUGCGGAGGGAUCAUUACAAGUGACCCCGGUCUAACCACCGGGAUGUUCAUAACCCUUUGUUGUCUGACUCUGUUGCCUCCGGGGCGACCCUGCCUUCGGGCGGGGGCUCCGGGUGGACACUUCAAACUCUUGCGUAACUUUGCAGUCUGAGUAAACUUAAUUAAUAAAUUAAAACUUUUAACAACGGAUCUCUUGGUUCUGGCAUCGAUGAAGAACGCAGCGAAAUGCGAUAAGUAAUGUGAAUUGCAGAAUUCAGUGAAUCAUCGAAUCUUUGAACGCACAUUGCGCCCCCUGGUAUUCCGGGGGGCAUGCCUGUUCGAGCGUCAUUUCACCACUCAAGCCUCGCUUGGUAUUGGGCAUCGCGGUCCGCCGCGUGCCUCAAAUCGACCGGCUGGGUCUUCUGUCCCCUAAGCGUUGUGGAAACUAUUCGCUAAAGGGUGUUCGGGAGGCUACGCCGUAAAACAACCCCAUUUCUAAGGUUGACCUCGGAUCAGGUAGGGAUACCCGCUGAACUUAAGCAUAUCAAUAAGCGGAGGAAAAGAAACCAACAGGGAUUGCCCCAGUAACG
rnacentral:rRNA from 1 species